rnacentral:rRNA from 1 species
GACGAACGCUGGCGGCGUGCUUAACACAUGCAAGUCGUACGGUAAGGCCCUUUCGGGGGUACACGAGUGGCGAACGGGUGAGUAACACGUGAGUAACCUGCCCACAACUUUGGGAUAACGCUAGGAAACUGGUGCUAAUACUGGAUAUGUGCUCCUGCUGCAUGGUGGGGGUUGGAAAGCUCCGGCGGUUGUGGAUGGACUCGCGGCCUAUCAGCUUGUUGGUGGGGUAGUGGCCUACCAAGGCGGCGACGGGUAGCCGGCCUGAGAGGGUGACCGGCCACAUUGGGACUGAGAUACGGCCCAGACUCCUACGGGAGGCAGCAGUGGGGAAGAUUGCACAAUGGGCGCAAGCCUGAUGCAGCAACGCCGCGUGCGGGAGGACGGCCUUCGGGUUGGAAACCGCUUUCAGCAGGGACGAAGCUUUUUGUGACGGUACCUGCAGAAGAAGCACCGGCUAACUACGUG